CCCUAAAAAGUCCUUUAAAUACAAAGGUUUGGUCCUGACCUUAAAAUCAAUUUUUACUUAACUUACACAUGCAAGUCUCAGCACCCCUGUGAGAACGCCCUUUAACUCCCGUUAGGAACAAGGAGCUGGUAUCAGGCACAACCUUUAGCCCAAGACACCUAGCUACGCCACACCCACAAGGGAAUUCAGCAGUGAUUAACAUUGAAUAUAAGCGCCAGCUUGAUUCAGUUAAAGUAAAAAGAGCCGGCUAAUCUGGUGCCAGCCGCCGCGGUUACACCACGUGGCUCAAAUUGAUUUUGCUCGGCGUAAAGCGUGAUUUAAGAGAUCAAUUCAUGGUGUCAAAAAAGCACUAAGCUGUGACACGCUUGUGCCUCAGAAGCCCAGAAACGAAAGCUACACCAAUAUUACCCACUUGAACUCACGACAGCUUGGAAACAAACUGGGAUUAGAUACCCCACUAUGCCUAGCCGUAAACUUUAAAUUACACCUCAAAUCGCCUGGGAACUACGAGCCAAGCUUAAAACCCAAAGGACUUGACGGUACCCCAAAUCCACCUAGAGGAGCCUGUCCUAUAAUCGAUAAUCCCCGUUGAACCUCACCACUUCUUGUUUAUCAGCCUGUAUACCUCCGUCGCCAGCUUACCGCGUGAGCGCCACUAAGUGAGCUUAAUGCCCACUCCGUCGCCAGCUUACCGCGUGCGCGCCAUAAGUGAGCCUAACGCCCUUACGCCAAUACGUCAGGUCAAGGUGCAGCUAAUGAAGUGGAAAGAGAUGGUACGCCCACACGUCAGGUCAAGGUGCAGCUAAUGGAGUGGGNAGAGAUGGGCUACACUUUCUACUAUAGAAAAAACGGAAGACUACCCAUGAAAUCUAGUCAGAAG
rnacentral:rRNA from 1 species